rnacentral:lncRNA from 13 species
GUGUGGAGCAGUUUCCUUGUCUGCAGCAGCACUCUUUGAAAGGGAAAAUUCUCUGGUGAAUUCAUUAUUACACAGAAGUCCCACCCCCAUGAAGCUGCUGUAGACACAUAACAGGAUUACUGUUCAAGAGUUUACUAGGAUGCAAGUAAAAUUGUUACAGUCAGCCAGCAGCAAGCAUCUUUGACUAAGAGUUAUUCUUCUGGCUCUGGACUAUUCUUCUUGGUUCUGGACUUUGAUCCAGCUGAGCAGGUGAGCCUUUGGACAGGUUG